rnacentral:SRP_RNA from 1 species
GCCAGGCGUGGUGGUGCAUGCCUGUAGUCCCAGCUACUCGGGAGGCUGAGGCAGGAGAAUUGCUUGAACCUGGGAGGCGGAGGUUGCAGUGAGCCAAGAUGGUGCCACUGCACUCCAGCCUGGGCAACAGAGCAAGACCCUGUCUCAA